GAAGUGUUAGUAAAUUAUUACACCACCUUGUCAAGGUGGAAUAAUAGGUUGAAACCCUGUACAUUUCU
rnacentral:tRNA from 1 species